rnacentral:rRNA from 1 species
CAAGUCGAGCGGACAGAUGGGAGCUUGCUCCCUGAUGUUAGCGGCGGACGGGUGAGUAACACGUGGGUAACCUGCCUGUAAGACUGGGAUAACUCCGGGAAACCGGGGCUAAUACCGGAUGCUUGUUUGAACCGCAUGGUUCAAACAUAAAAGGUGGCUUCGGCUACCACUUACAGAUGGACCCGCGGCGCAUUAGCUAGUUGGUGAGGUAACGGCUCACCAAGGCAACGAUGCGUAGCCGACCUGAGAGGGUGAUCGGCCACACUGGGACUGAGACACGGCCCAGACUCCUACGGGAGGCAGCAGUAGGGAAUCUUCCGCAAUGGACGAAAGUCUGACGGAGCAACGCCGCGUGAGUGAUGAAGGUUUUCGGAUCGUAAAGCUCUGUUGUUAGGGAAGAACAAGUACCGUUCGAAUAGGGCGGUACCUUGACGGUACCUAACCAGAAAGCCACGGCUAACUACGUGCCAGCAGCCGCGGUAAUACGUAGGUGGCAAGCGUUGUCCGGAAUUAUUGGGCGUAAAGGGCUCGCAGGCGGUUUCUUAAAUCUGAUGUGAAAGCCCCCGGCUCAACCGGGGAGGGUCAAUGGAAACUGGGGAAAUUGGGUGC